rnacentral:rRNA from 1 species
CCUACGGGAGGCAGCAGUGAGGAAUAUUGGUCAAUGGGCGUAAGCCUGAACCAGCCAAGUCGCGUGAGGGAUGAAGGUCCUAUGGAUUGUAAACUUCUUUUAUAAGGGAAUAAAGUGCGGGACGUGUGCCGUUUUGUAUGUACCUUAUGAAUAAGGACCGGCUAACUCCGUGCCAGCAGCCGCGGUAAUACGGAGGAUCCGAGCGUUAUCCGGAUUUAUUGGGUUUAAAGGGUGCGUAGGCGGCCUUUUAAGUCAGCGGUGAAAGUCUGUGGCUCAACCAUAGAAUUGCCGUUGAAACUGGGAGGCUUGAGUAUGUUUGAGGCAGGCGGAAUGCGUGGUGUAGCGGUGAAAUGCUUAGAUAUCACGCAGAACCCCGAUUGCGAAGGCAGCCUGCCAAGCCAUGACUGACGCUGAUGCACGAAAGCGUGGGGAUCAAACAGGAUUAGAUACCCGAGUAGUC